UUUCCGGAAACCCGGCGGACGCUGGGGCUGCAGGUGGAGUACAGGUGCGCAGUGGGAAGUGUGAUUGCGCAGUGUUGGGCUGUUCGGCCAAGCGUCCGCAGGACAUGGGACGCUGGUGGGUCAGCGGCGUGAAGUCCUCGCCUUCAGCGUCCGCGGCUGGGAAAUUGGCUGUCGCCACGGCGGGAACUAGGACUCUGGCUGCGUCCCGGCCCUUCCUCAUCAGUCCACCGGACUCUUGGGCGCGCGCACUGGCGCUGAUGUAGUUUCCUUACCUCUGACCCGUAUUGUCUUGAAAUUAAAGGAAUUGGGAGCUGCUUUUGCUAUUCUUCUAUCUUGGAUGCAUUGGAAGGUCCAGAUUUUGAAGAAAUCUCUCUAGAGGUUGAACAGAGCUGCUCCUGGAUCCCGCAGCAGCGAGGAGACCUGAAGACCAGAGGAAACACAGCAAUCCCUGGAUCCUCCUGGAAUCCCCGAUCCCUGUUGCUCCCUCGGGGAGGUUUCUAGUCCCUCUGACUUGAAGCAUGGCUUUCAGAGCCCGGCGCCACCCAGCUUGGGUAUCUGGUGAGUUCUGUGGUGUGCACGUCCACGUUUGUGACAUUCUGGGAAGGGUGGCCCAGGCUGUGAUUUGCCAUCUACUGCUGCGGGCUAUGCAUGGUAUUCAGAAGGGAGGGGAGAUGCCGUGUGCGUGUUCUGAAGGGUUUCCCACUACACAGACCAACCCUCUCCAUAACUAUUUGAUUUUUACUUCAUCUCCUCGUUGACUUCACAGUGUCAGUGCAGUUUGUGUAAUCAUCUCUACGGGGUGAUGCAGGCAGAUAUAAAGUCUGCACGUGUGGGCAAACUCUCCACAUCAUGUCAUUUAUUGUCCAUCAUUACAUGUCUAUGGUGUCUCGCUCAUUUCUCUCAUUUUCUGUCAUUUUACCUACUUUUACCUGAAGUACAAUGACUAUUUAAUAACUAUUAUUUCAAUACACCUCUAUGGUAUUUUUUCACCUCACAUUGGACCUUCCUCCCUCACUGGACUUCAAUGGUGGGACCUGCAGGUCUCAGGCCUUCUGGGAUGUCCCAGUUUUACUUGAAUGUUCUCUCUGGCCGGCUCAGGCCGGAGCAGUGGGUGUUGGCGCCACCCUGUGGCUAUAGGUGAUAAGCCGGCUGUUCUUGACUGAUCCCUGUCUUACCUUGAACCCUGGAGUUCUCACAUGCGUGGAUUUAAACGCUGUGUCUUUCUAAGGGCAGAUUGUGCCCAUUUUCCUUCUCUCCCUCUCAAGACACUGUUUCCUGUGUUUAUUGACUCCCCGUUUUUUUUUUAAAAAGAGAUAUAUAUAGAUAGAUGAAUUAGAUUGUACCCCAUAAAUUGCAUGUUUUAAAAAUACUUCAAAGAAUAGUUUUUCAUUUUUUUCUUGCUGAUUUUUACCUAUCUUAUAAAUUGUAUAUGGGGUAUAAAAUGAUGUGAUUUUUCAAUACAGUGUGGAAUAAGAAUCAAAUUAAUCUAUCCGUUACCUCAAAUCCUUGACCUUUUUUUGUGGUGAGAAUGCUGUUUAUCACUUUCACUCAUCAGCUCCUGAUGUCUUCCAUGCUAGGGACAGGAAAGGCUCCACACUUGACUUUCCCUCCUGUUUUCUUUUUUUUUUUUUUUUUUUUUGA